GGUCGGAUGGCCAAGCUUGGUAAGGUGCCAGGUUCGGGAUCUGGUGAUCGCGAGUUCAAAUCUCGCUCCGGCCACCA
rnacentral:tRNA from 1 species